AUUGAACGCUGGCGGCAUGCCUUACACAUGCAAGUCGAACGGCAGCACGGGAGCAAUCCUGGUGGCGAGUGGCGAACGGGCGAGUAAAGUAUCGGAACGAGCCCAGUCGUGGGGGAUAACGUCGCGAAAGUUCCGCUAAUACCGCAUACGAUCUAUGGAUGGAAGCGGGGGAUGGCAAGACCUCGCGCGAUUGGAGCGGCCGAUAUCAGAUUAGGUCGUUGGUGGGGUACAGGCUCACCAAGCCGACGAUCUGUAGCUGGUCUGAGAGGACGACCCGCCACACUGGGACUGAGCCACGGCCCAGACUCCUACGGGAGGCAGCAGUGGGGAAUUUUGGCCAAUGGGCGAAAGCCUGAUCCAGCCAUGCCGCGUGCAGGAUGAAGGCCUUCGGGUUGUAAACUGCUUUUGUACGGAACGAAAAGGUUUGGGCUAAUAAGCUGAGCUCAUGACGGUACCGUAAGAAUAAGCACCGGCUAACUACGUGCCAGCAGCCGCCGUAA
rnacentral:rRNA from 1 species